rnacentral:lncRNA from 1 species
AACUGAGGCGCGGCAGGGGGAAGCGGCCAGUGAACCUCUUGUGUUCGGAGGAGCUGUCGGAUGACGAGAAAAAUCGAGUUCGUGAGCUAGUACUCCUCUUAUGCAACCCCGACACCAGUGGCGACAACAGACGGCCAAGAGGCGAAAUGAUAGAACAGUGGACGCCUAACUCACCUGUCGUCACUCAUGUAAUCGCCCAUUGUACGGCGGACAGAGAGCUGCUUCCGCCAACCAAGAAUGUGGCCAUCGGAGUGGCAACUGGUGCCUGGGUGGUGACCAUGAAGUGGGUCACCACGUGCCUAGAGAAGAGGUGCCUGCUACAUGAGACUGAGUACGAGGCUCGCGAUGCAACGGGGCGCAAGGGCCCUAAUCUCGCACGACGGGCGCAGAACCACCGAACCUCUCUGCUGCACGAUUUCGUCUUCUCCCGCAUGGAUAAUGAAUACUUGUCCGAAGAUGAAAUGCGGCAUCUGGUGCGACUGUCUGGAGGGCAGAUUGAAAAAUUUCCACCUUUAGCGUCGGCCCAACCGAAUCGACACUUUAGCAAACUCAAGCGCGAACCCAAGCGCGAGCUCAAGAGGCAAACCUAACUGUCGGCCCAGAACAAGCUGCAGCUGAUAUUAUGCGGCGACGAAGGAGACGCGGAAGCUGAGUGGCGUCGUACGGGAGUACCCGUAGUGCACUACGUGUGGCUUUUGGCCACAAUCACAGCCCAAACCAUACUGGACAUCAAGAGAUUUAUUGUGGCACCGGAACUGACUUUUCCCCACUCCAGAGUUGCAGGGUUUCCCUGGCAGCUCCUUCCGGACCUGCCAGGAAUGAAUCAGCUGGCGGCGUAUAUGCAUCGUCUCCCCGCAGCUACGCAUCGUGCCGCCGAUUCAGGUGAUCAGGAUUGCGAUUCAGGAAAACGCAAUCAGGAGGUGCAGGCCCGGGUAUCCGUCUGGACCGAUCUACACGCAGACGACAAGACACGCAUAAGAAUGCCCAAUAUGAAGAGCGGAGGCCCCAGACGUUGGUGCGCACGCAGCUGACGGUGGACGAGACGCGCACGGCCUUCUCGCUCCUCCAAAAAUUAUGCUCGAGCUCCAUAGUUGGGUCAUCCAUGGGAAGCGUCGGAAGUUUUCAUGGACCUGAGCCGUAGCGAAAACCACGACAUCUGAAGCCUCACAAUUGUCCUCAAUGUUAGUUCAAUUGCAGCAGUUAAUGGAGUUCCUUUAAAACUACGACCUCACAAGUGACAGAUGUGUCAGCGCGGGUUUCACAAAAACGUUCAACUACAACAGCACAUGAAAUCGGUGCAUAUAGAUCUUUAUUCAUUUGACUCGUUGAAAAACGCAAAUUUUUGUUAGGUUAAUAAAUUGUUGCUUGUCA